AUGGACGGGCUGGAGGCCUCGGCUGGAGAAGAGGAAGGAUAACAGUGCAGAUAACACGGUCUCUGGAAGCAUUCUCUCUCCUGAUAUACUCUCAUUGUGGCGUUGUUUGCAACAGCAACGGUGGGGAGACAAUAAAUACUUCACUGGGAAGCUGAACUCAAGACACGAUGCAGGAGCCAAUAGCUAAGUAUUUAGAUAUCCACAAGAAGCUGAUCGUCUUGGCUGCUCUCAAGAGAGACAUGAGUGCUGGGAGAUAGGCUGAGAGGAAGACUUCUCAGUCUGCAGUCCAGGCUUGGCAGCAAGCUCCUCUACCUACUGAGUCAAUCUUGCUGGCCCAAAAUUUUAGAAUAAAGUAAAACAGACCAAUAUAAUUCUGCAGACCAGGCUGGCCUUGAACUCACAGAGAUCCUCCAGCCUCUGCCUUCAGAAUGCUGAGAUUAAAGGCUGUGCUGCCAUCACCUGAUGUGUUCUUCUUUUGAUGCUUAGAAUUGAAGCCAGGGACUCCUGCACCUGCGUUGCACUGAGCUAUGCCCUUGUCCUACUGAAGUUAAAGGACACAUAUUUACUAUUGUUCUAUAAUGUAAAGGGUAGCUCAACUUGUCAACCAGCUUCCUUCCUCUUUAAGCCUGGUGUGUUUAUCCACAGAACAAAGUGAAAUAAAACAUGAGCUUAGAAUC
rnacentral:lncRNA from 1 species